rnacentral:lncRNA from 1 species
CAUCACUCUUGGGAUCAAUAGUGCUCUGAUACCAUAUUGUUGUGAGACUGUGAAAAUGACGGAAGAAAAUGAAUAAAGUAUUGGUAAAACCGUGCUGAUCACGGAUGUCUUCUUUCCUUCAUAUAGUAUUUACAAAAUGUAACUGUUUUCACGUUCACAACCAACUUUAAAUAAUAAAAACGUUACUUUUUUAAAUAAUAAAAACGUUACUUUCUUAAUGUGGGCAUUACUUGCAGUUAGUGUCAACAAAUAGGCUUCCUGAUUUUUCCGGAGCUUUCUUCUUGAGAUAUAUCAACAGGGAAAAAGUGGGUGCAUUCCGACCAAAGGAGAUUCUCAACAGGGAAAAAGUAUCAAGAUAGCGAAAAUCGGAUUCAAGGAACAGAGCUUCAACAAACCACAUAUUCGGUCGGCCCGCUUGGGUGAUGGGCUGCCGAUGGCUACUUCAUCUCCUUCUUCCUUUGCUCCAGUUGUGCACUCCAGCUGCAGUCCCUCUUGCACUGUGACAGAAUGGUUUAAAUUUCUUCUCUUUUCUUUUCAAUUAACCCCUGGAUCACCUCUCUCCUUAUAUAAUCG